rnacentral:rRNA from 1 species
UACUAAGGGUGCAAGCGUUACUCGGAAUUACUGGGCGUAAAGCGUGCGUAGGUGGUUUGUUAAGUCUGUUGUGAAAGCCCCGGGCUCAACCUGGGAAUGGCAAUGGAUACUGGCAGGCUAGAGUGCGGUAGAGGGUAGUGGAAUUCCCGGUGUAGCGGUGAAAUGCGUAGAGAUCGGGAGGAACACCAGUGGCGAAGGCGGCUACCUGGACCGGUUCUGACACUGAGGAGCGAAAGCGUGGGGAGCGAGCCGG